UCUGGCUCAGGAUGAACGCUGGCGGUAUGCUUAACACAUGCAAGUCGAACGAUGUUUUAGGACAUAGUGGCGGACGGGUGAGUAACGCGUAAGAAUCUACCUUCAGGUUUGGGACAACCAUUGAAAACGGUGGCUAAUACCGAAUGUGCCGAGAGGUGAAAGGCUUGCUGCCUGAAGAAGAGCUUGCGUCUGAUUAGCUAGUUGGUGGGGUAAGAGCCUACCAAGGCGACGAUCAGUAGCUGGUCUGAGAGGAUGAUCAGCCACACUGGGACUGAGACACGGCCCAGACUCCUACGGGAGGCAGCAGUGGGGAAUUUUCCGCAAUGGGCGAAAGCCUGACGGAGCAAUACCGCGUGAGGGAGGAAGGCUCUUGGGUUGUAAACCUCUUUUCUCAGGGAAGAAAGAAAUGACGGUACCUGAGGAAUAAGCAUCGGCUAACUCCGUGCCAGCAGCCGCGGUAAUACGGAGGAUGCAAGCGUUAUCCGGAAUGAUUGGGCGUAAAGGGUCCGCAGGUGGUAGUGUAAGUCUGCUGUUAAAGAGUCACGCUCAACGUGAUAAAAGCAGUGGAAACUACACAACUAGAGUACGGUAGGGGCAGAAGGAAUUCCUGGUGUAGCGGUGAAAUGCGUAGAUAUCAGGAAGAACACCGGUGGCGAAAGCGUUCUGCUAGACCUGUACUGACACUGAGGGACGAAAGCUAGGGGAGCGAAUGGUAUUAGAUACCCCGGUAGUCCUAGCCGUAAACGAUGGAUACUAGGUGUGGCUUGUAUCGACCCGAGCCGUACCGUAGCUAACGCGUUAAGUAUCCCGCCUGGGGAGUACGC
rnacentral:rRNA from 1 species